CGCCUCUACACCAGCAUGUCUGACUGUCUUAUCAAGACCAUCCGCUCAGAGGGAUACUUCGGGAUGUACAGAGGGUCUGCGGUGAACCUAACCCUGGUCACGCCAGAGAAAGCCAUCAAGCUAGCAGCAAAUGACUUCUUCAGACAAUACCUCUCCAAGGAUGGUCAGAAGCUCACCCUGGUCAAGGAGAUGCUGGCGGGGUGUGGGG